GGUUAAGCGACUAAGCGUACACGGUGGAUGCCCUGGCAGUCAGAGGCGAUGAAGGACGUGCUAAUCUGCGAUAAGCGUCGGUGAGGUGAUAUGAACCGUUAUAACCGGCGAUUUCCGAAUGGGGAAACCCAGUGUGUUUCGACACACUAUCAUUAACUGAAUCCAUAGGUUAAUGAGGCGAACCGGGGGAACUGAAACAUCUAAGUACCCCGAGGAAAAGAAAUCAACCGAGAUUCCCCCAGUAGCGGCGAGCGAACGGGGAGGAGCCCAGAGCCUGAAUCAGUGUGUGUGUUAGUGGAAGCGUCUGGAAAGGCGCGCGAUACAGGGUGACAGCCCCGUACACAAAAAUGCACAUAUUGUGAGCUCGAUGAGUAGGGCGGGACACGUGGUAUCCUGUCUGAAUAUGGGGGGACCAUCCUCCAAGGCUAAAUACUCCUGACUGACCGAUAGUGAACCAGUACCGUGAGGGAAAGGCGAAAAGAACCCCGGCGAGGGGAGUGAAAAAGAACCUGAAACCGUGUACGUACAAGCAGUGGGAGCCUCUUUUAUGGGGUGACUGCGUACCUUUUGUAUAAUGGGUCAGCGACUUAUAUUCUGUAGCAAGGUUAACCGAAUAGGGGAGCCGAAGGGAAACCGAGUCUUAACUGGGCGUUAAGUUGCAGGGUAUAGACCCGAAACCCGGUGAUCUAGCCAUGGGCAGGUUGAAGGUUGGGUAACACUAACUGGAGGACCGAACCGACUAAUGUUGAAAAAUUAGCGGAUGACUUGUGGCUGGGGGUGAAAGGCCAAUCAAACCGGGAGAUAGCUGGUUCUCCCCGAAAGCUAUUUAGGUAGCGCCUCGUGAAUUCAUCUCCGGGGGUAGAGCACUGUUUCGGCAAGGGGGUCAUCCCGACUUACCAACCCGAUGCAAACUGCGAAUACCGGAGAAUGUUAUCACGGGAGACACACGGCGGGUGCUAACGUCCGUCGUGAAGAGGGAAACAACCCAGACCGCCAGCUAAGGUCCCAAAGUCAUGGUUAAGUGGGAAACGAUGUGGGAAGGCCCAGACAGCCAGGAUGUUGGCUUAGAAGCAGCCAUCAUUUAAAGAAAGCGUAAUAGCUCACUGGUCGAGUCGGCCUGCGCGGAAGAUGUAACGGGGCUAAACCAUGCACCGAAGCUGCGGCAGCGACGCUUAUGCGUUGUUGGGUAGGGGAGCGUUCUGUAAGCCUGUGAAGGUGUGCUGUGAGGCAUGCUGGAGGUAUCAGAAGUGCGAAUGCUGACAUAAGUAACGAUAAAGCGGGUGAAAAGCCCGCUCGCCGGAAGACCAAGGGUUCCUGUCCAACGUUAAUCGGGGCAGGGUGAGUCGACCCCUAAGGCGAGGCCGAAAGGCGUAGUCGAUGGGAAACAGGUUAAUAUUCCUGUACUUGGUGUUACUGCGAAGGGGGGACGGAGAAGGCUAUGUUGGCCGGGCGACGGUUGUCCCGGUUUAAGCGUGUAGGCUGGUUUUCCAGGCAAAUCCGGAAAACCAAGGCUGAGGCGUGAUGACGAGGCACUACGGUGCUGAAGCGACAAAUGCCCUGCUUCCAGGAAAAGCCUCUAAGCAUCAGGUAACAUCAAAUCGUACCCCAAACCGACACAGGUGGUCAGGUAGAGAAUACCAAGGCGCUUGAGAGAACUCGGGUGAAGGAACUAGGCAAAAUGGUGCCGUAACUUCGGGAGAAGGCACGCUGAUAUGUAGGUGAAGCGACUUGCUCGUGGAGCUGAAAUCAGUCGAAGAUACCAGCUGGCUGCAACUGUUUAUUAAAAACACAGCACUGUGCAAACACGAAAGUGGACGUAUACGGUGUGACGCCUGCCCGGUGCCGGAAG
rnacentral:rRNA from 1 species